rnacentral:lncRNA from 1 species
ACUGAAUUUGCUCUCAUAGCUGUAAUCGGAGCCCCCACCGCCGGGCGAGUUGUAUGAGUUGGAGUAGGAGGAGUACCCGCUCUGCCCGUGGCUGUAGCCCUUCUGCUUGCCCUGCGGCCCGUAGCUGCCGUACUGGUUCUGGCUGUAGGACUGCUGCUGCUGGCCCUGGUGGCUUUGGUACCCGGAGCCGUACGACGCCUUCUGCUGCCCCCCGUGCUGCUGCUUCUUACCGCCGUGCUUGGGGGGCGCCGGGGCGCUGUAGCUGUCGCCGCCCUGGUAGUAGGAGCCGAACCCCGAGGAGCCGCCGCCGCCGCCGCCGCCCGCGUUGGAGUGACCUCCGUUGCUGUAGAAUUGGCUGUAUCCCGCCGUCGCCGAGUUCCCCCCGUACCCGUAGCUCCCGUAGCCGCCGCCUGCGUUCAUGUAGCCGCCGUGGUUGCCCCCGUAGCCGCCCCGGCCUCUCCCACGGCCGCGCAUGUUGCCGCCCCGGCCCCGGCCGCGCAUGUUGGGCGGUGGGGGAACGUCGUUGUGCAUGGGACCCCCCAUCCCAAAACCCGGGUUGUGCUGCUUGACGGCAAACUUGGGCCCUCCCCUGGCAGGCAGAGGGGUUCUCUUCUUCUUAUUCUGCUCGAUGGCGACGGGAGCGUCGGGGAAGAGCUUCUCCAGCGCUGCCAGCGCGGCGUAGGCUUUGGC